rnacentral:rRNA from 1 species
UCUUGGUCAUUUAGAGGAAGUAAAAGUCGUAACAAGGUCUCCGUUGGUGAACCAGCGGAGGGAUCAUUAUCGAGUUAUUCAACUCCCAAACCCUAUGUGAACUUACCACUUGUUGCUUCGGCGCGCGCUUCGGCGCCGCCGAGGACACUUAAACUCUUUGUUUUUAUAAGCAUUUCUGAGUGGCCGAAAGGCAAAAAUACAAAUGAAUCAAAACUUUCAACAACGGAUCUCUUGGUUCUGGCAUCGAUGAAGAACGCAGCGAAAUGCGAUAAGUAAUGUGAAUUGCAGAAUUCAGUGAAUCAUCGAAUCUUUGAACGCACAUUGCGCCCGCCAGCAUUCUGGCGGGCAUGCCUGUUCGAGCGUCAUUUCAACCCUCGAGCCCGACUCUUUUGAGGACGGCUCGGCGUUGGGGGACGGCAGACUCCCCCCGGCAUCUCGCCGGGGACGCCGCCCCCGAAAUCUAGUGGCGGCCCUCCGAGGCGACCUCUGCGUAGUAACUUGUUCUCGCACCGGAAAGCUCAGAGCGGCCACGCCGUAAAACCCCAACUUUUUUCAGGUUAACCUCGAAUCAGGUAGGACUACC